ensembl:miRNA MIR4527 microRNA 4527
CCAGAAGUGGUCUGCAAAGAGAUGACUGUGAAUCCAAGAUCCACAUCAGCUCUGUGCUGCCUACAUCUGA